CCUACGGGAGACAGCAGUGGGGAAUAUUGCACAAUGGGGGAAACCCUGAUGCAGCGACGCCGCGUGAGUGAAGAAGUAUUUCGGUAUGUACAGCUCUGUCAGCAGGGAAGAAAAUGACGGUACCUGACCAAGAAGCCCCGGCUAACUACGUGCCAGCAGCCGCGGUAAUACGUAGGGGGCAAGCGUUAUCCGGAUUUACUGGGUGUAAAGGGAGCGUAGACGGCAGGGCAAGUCUGGAGUGAAAGGCGGGGGCACAACCCCCGGACUGCUCUGGAAACUGCCAGGCUGGAGUGCAGGAGAGGUAAGUGGAAUACCGAGUGUAGCGGUGAAAUGCGUAGAUAUUAGGAGGAACACGAGUGGCGAAGGCGGCUUACUGGAAUGUAACUGACGUUGAGGCUCGAAAGCGUGGGGAGCAAGCAGGAUUAGAUACACUGGUAGUC
rnacentral:rRNA from 1 species